CCAUGCCCUGUGCCUACGUCCAGUCCCCAAGCAACCCGCUUGAGAUUUCCACCAUCUUGUAAAAUGUCUUUUACAAAGUCUAAACCACACAUAGACAACCUUUCCCUUGCGUUCAUAAAUCCUUACAACUUAAGAGACCAUCGGUCCCUUAAUCAAUUUCUUUGCAUGAGAAGAAGAAGAAGAAUUCUCUCUUUAAGAGAAAGAUAUUACAAUUGAAGAUCACUCAAGAUUCCUUAUUGAAUUUGCAAGUGUUUUGGCCUAGGAAUUUUUUUUAGAGUUAUAAGACAAUUUGUUUAGGAAAACUCUCUAAGGAAUUUCGUAACCCAAGUCACCAAUUUAUAGGCCUUUGAUGGCCAUUCAAAAAUCUCUUGAACAGAUGUGACUCUUAGGAGUUAUUUUCGAAAAUUCCUUAUUGGUAAUCGAUUACAUAAAAGUGAUAAUCGAUUACAUAGUUAGUUUC
rnacentral:lncRNA from 1 species